rnacentral:rRNA from 1 species
UACGUAGGGUGCAAGCGUUUGUCCGGAAUUAUUGGGCGUAAAGAGCUCGUAGGCGGCCUGUCGCGUCGGCUGUGAAAACCCGAGGCUCAACCUCGGGCCUGCAGUCGAUACGGGCAGGCUAGAGUUCGGUAGGGGAGACUGGAAUUCCUGGUGUAGCGGUGAAAUGCGCAGAUAUCAGGAGGAACACCGGUGGCGAAGGCGGGUCUCUGGGCCGAAACUGACGCUGAGGAGCGAAAGCGUGGGGAGCGAACAGG